rnacentral:rRNA from 1 species
CCUACGGGAGGCAGCAGUGGGGAAUAUUGGGCAAUGGGCGCAAGCCUGACCCAGCAACGCCGCGUGAAGGAAGAAGGCUUUCGGGUUGUAAACUUCUUUUGUCAGGGACGAAGCCAGUGACGGUACCUGACGAAUCAGCCACGGCUAACUACGUGCCAGCAGCCGCGGUAAUACGUAGGUGGCAAGCGUUAUCCGGAUUUACUGGGUGUAAAGGGCGUGUAGGCGGGACUGCAAGUCAGAUGUGAAAACCACGGGCGCAACCUGUGGCCUGCAUCUGAAACUGUAGUUCUUGAGUACUGGAGAGGCAGACGGAAUGCCUAGUGUAGCGGUGAAAUGCGUAGAUAUUAGGAGGAACACCAGUGGCGAAGGCGGUCUGCUGGACAGCAACUGACGCUGAGGCGCGAAAGCGUGGGGAGCAAACAGGAUUAGAUACCCUAGUAGUC